GAUGAACGCUGGCGGCGUGCCUAAUACAUGCAAGUCGAGCGAACAGAUAAGGAGCUUGCUCCUUUGAAGUUAGCGGCGGACGGGUGAGUAACACGUGGGUAACCUACCUAUAAGACUGGGAUAACUUCGGGAAACCGGAGCUAAUACCGGAUAACAUUUAGAACCGCAUGGUUCUAAAGUGAAAGAUGGUUUUGCUAUCACUUAUAGAUGGACCCGCGCCGUAUUAGCUAGUUGGUAAGGUAACGGCUUACCAAGGCGACGAUACGUGGCCGACCUGAGAGGGUGAUCGGCCACACUGGAACUGAGACACGGUCCAGACUCCUACGGGAGGCAGCAGUAGGGAAUCUUCCGCAAUGGGCGAAAGCCUGACGGAGCAACGCCGCGUGAGUGAUGAAGGGUUUCGGCUCGUAAAACUCUGUUAUUAGGGAAGAACAAAUGUGUAAGUAACUGUGCACAUCUUGACGGUACCUAAUCAGAAAGCCACGGCUAACUACGUG
rnacentral:rRNA from 1 species